rnacentral:rRNA from 2 species
CGAGGAAGCGCAUCGGAAACUGGGAAACUUGAGUGCAGAAGAGGACAGUGGAACUCCAUGUGUAGCGGUGAAAUGCGUAGAUAUAUGGAAGAACACCAGUGGCGAAGGCGGCUGUCUGGUCUGUAACUGACGCUGAGGCUCGAAAGCAUGGGUAGCGAACAGGAUUAGAUACCCUGGUAGUCCAUGCCGUAAACGAUGAAUGCUAGGUGUUGGAGGGUUUCCGCCCUUCAGUGCCGCAGCUAACGCAUUAAGCAUUCCGCCUGGGGAGUACGACCGCAAGGUUGAAACUCAAAGGAAUUGACGGGGGCCCGCACAAGCGGUGGAGCAUGUGGUUUAAUUCGAAGCAACGCGAAGAACCUUACCAGGUCUUGACAUCUUUUGAUCACCUGAGAGAUCAGGUUUCCCCUUCGGGGGCAAAAUGACAGGUGGUGCAUGGUUGUCGUCAGCUCGUGUCGUGAGAUGUUGGGUUAAGUCCCGCAACGAGCGCAACCCUUAUGACUAGUUGCCAGCAUUUAGUUGGGCACUCUAGUAAGACUGCCGGUGACAAACCGGAGGAAGGUGGGGAUGACGUCAAAUCAUCAUGCCCCUUAUGACCUGGGCUACACACGUGCUACAAUGGAUGGUACAACGAGUUGCGAGACCGCGAGGUCAAGCUAAUCUCUUAAAGCCAUUCUCAGUUCGGACUGUAGGCUGCAACUCGCCUACACGAAGUCGGAAUCGCUAGUAAUCGCGGAUCAGCACGCCGCGGUGAAUACGUUCCCGGGCCUUGUACACACCGCCCGUCACACCAUGAGAGUUU